rnacentral:rRNA from 1 species
UUAAAUUUUUUAUUUUUGUAUAAAAUAUAAAUUAAUAAUUAUGAUAUUUAAAAUUUUGUACCAGAUAACUCGGCUAUACUUGUUAAGCUUUAACUAUAAAUUUUUAUUUAUUAUUUUUGUUUUUUUUUUAUAUUUUUUUUUGUGAAAAUAAGAAAUUUAUAUUUUUUUUUUAAAUAAUAUUUAGUUUUUUUUUGACUUGGUUUAGUAUCCAAUUAAAAAAAUAUAAAUUUAAUCUAAAGUAAAGUUAAUUAAAUAGAAAUAAUUUGUCUGGAAUAUAAAUUUUUUUUUGGGAUUUGAUGGUUAAUUGGUUAAAACUCCUUUUAACUAUUUUUAUUUUUUUUUUGAAUGACUCUUUUUUUUAUUUAUUAUUAAUUUAAUUUUUUUUUUAUGAGGUAUUUACCAAGAUUAUAAAAUAGUCUUAAUUUAGUCACAUUAAUUUAAAUUUUGGAUUAAUAUUAGAAUUUAUUAUUAAAUUGGAAAAAAAAGUAAAAAUAAAAUUAAUUUUUAUUUGAAUUUAAUCUUUAUUUAGUACUAAUUGUCCAUCAUUACUGUUAAGUAAAAGUUGUAGCAAAGUAGAUUUAAAUGAAUUUGAAUCUA